CAUUCACUUAUUAUAUUAGAUUAUUAAUAGUUAUGUUCUUUAAAAUUAAAGAUUUUGGCGGUAUUUUAGUCUAUUCAGAGGAAUCUGUCCUAUAAUUGAUAUUCCACGAUUAAAUUUACUUAAUUUAAAUUAGUUUAUAUAUCGUCGUAUAAGAAUAUUUUAGAAGAAUAAAAAUAUUCAAAAUUUAGAUUUAUAAUAAAAAUCAGAUCAAGAUGUAGCUUAUAAUUAAGAAGAGAUGGAUUACAAUAAAAUUUUAUUUAUGGAUAUUAAUUUAAAAAAUUAAUUGAAAUUGGAUUUGAUAGUAAUUAUUUAAAUAUUUUAAUAAUGAUUUUAGCUCUAAAAUAUGU
rnacentral:rRNA from 1 species